rnacentral:precursor_RNA from 15 species
CAAGAAAACUAAGAAUUUUGUCUUGCUUUGACUCACUCAACCUGGGUGUGAUGUUAUUUCGAUUCGGUAUCCAUCACAACCUCCUUGAGUGAGCGAUAGCAGGAUAGAAUAUCCACAAAGCUAAAC